rnacentral:rRNA from 1 species
AUUGAACGCUGGCGGCGUGCUUAACACAUGCAAGUCGAACGUGAAAGUCCUUCGGGACGAGUAAAGUGGCGCACGGGUGAGUAACGCGUGGAUAAUCUACCCUUAAGAUGGGGAUAACGGCUGGAAACGGUCGCUAAUACCGAAUACGCUCCCGAUUUUAUCGUUGGGGGGAAAGAUGGCCUCUGCUUGCAAGCUAUCGCUUAAGGAUGAGUCCGCGUCCCAUUAGCUAGUUGGCGGGGUAACGGCCCACCAAGGCGACGAUGGGUAGCCGGUCUGAGAGGAUGACCGGCCACACUGGAACUGGAACACGGUCCAGACUCCUACGGGAGGCAGCAGUGGGGAAUAUUGCGCAAUGGGCGAAAGCCUGACGCAGCGACGCCGCGUGAGGGAUGAAGGUUCUCGGAUCGUAAACCUCUGUCAGGGGGGAAGAAACCCCCUCGUGUGAAUAAUGCGAGGGCUUGACGGUACCCCCAAAGGAAGCACCGGCUAACUCCGUGCCAGCAGCCGCGGUAAUACGGAGGGUGCAAGCGUUAAUCGGAAUCACUGGGCGUAAAGCGCACGUAGGCGGCUUGGUAAGUCAGGGGUGAAAUCCCACAGCCCAACUGUGGAACUGCCUUUGAUACUGCCAGGCUUGAGUACCGGAGAGGGUGGCGGAAUUCCAGGUGUAGGAGUGAAAUCCGUAGAUAUCUGGAGGAACACCGGUGGCGAAGGCGGCCACCUGGACGGUAACUGACGCUGANGUGCGAAAGCGUGGGUAGCAAACAGGGUUAGAUACCCUGGUAGUCCACGCUGUAAACGAUGGGUGCUGGGUGCUGGGAUGUAUGUCUCGGUGCCGUAGCUAACGCGAUAAGCACCCCGCCUGGGGAGUACGGUCGCANGGCUGAAACUCAAANAAAUUGANGGGGGCCCGCACAAGCGGUGGAGUAUGUGGUUUAAUUCGAUGCAACGCGAAGAACCUUACCCAGGCUGACAUCUAGGGAACUCUUCGGAAAUGAAGGGGUGCCCUUCGGGGAGCCCUAAGAA